rnacentral:rRNA from 1 species
CUAAGCGUACACGGUGGAUGCCCUGGCAGUCAGAGGCGAUGAAGGACGUGCUAAUCUGCGAUAAGCGUCGGUAAGGUGAUAUGAACCGUUAUAACCGGCGAUUUCCGAAUGGGGAAACCCAGUGUGUUUCGACACACUAUCAUUAACUGAAUCCAUAGGUUAAUGAGGCGAACCGGGGGAACUGAAACAUCUAAGUACCCCGAGGAAAAGAAAUCAACCGAGAUUCCCCCAGUAGCGGCGAGCGAACGGGGAGCAGCCCAGAGCCUGAAUCAGUAUGUGUGUUAGUGGAAGCGUCUGGAAAGGCGCGCGAUACAGGGUGACAGCCCCGUACACAAAAAUGCACAUGCUGUGAGCUCGAUGAGUAGGGCGGGACACGUGGUAUCCUGUCUGAAUAUGGGGGGACCAUCCUCCAAGGCUAAAUACUCCUGACUGACCGAUAGUGAACCAGUACCGUGAGGGAAAGGCGAAAAGAACCCCGGCGAGGGGAGUGAAAAAGAACCUGAAACCGUGUACGUACAAGCAGUGGGAGCACGCUUAGGCGUGUGACUGCGUACCUUUUGUAUAAUGGGUCAGCGACUUAUAUUCUGUAGCAAGGUUAACCGAAUAGGGGAGCCGAAGGGAAACCGAGUCUUAACUGGGCGUUAAGUUGCAGGGUAUAGACCCGAAACCCGGUGAUCUAGCCAUGGGCAGGUUGAAGGUUGGGUAACACUAACUGGAGGACCGAACCGACUAAUGUUGAAAAAUUAGCGGAUGACUUGUGGCUGGGGGUGAAAGGCCAAUCAAACCGGGAGAUAGCUGGUUCUCCCCGAAAGCUAUUUAGGUAGCGCCUCGUGAAUUCAUCUCCGGGGGUAGAGCACU